ensembl:lncRNA
GUAAAGACUUCCCAUACCAGAUCAGUGCUUCCAUCUCAAUAUGUACUGGUAAAAGUUGAGAUUUAAAAAUGUAUUCAAAUUUUCUCUCUUUGUACUUCUGUUAGUCCCAGUGAAGGAGUUGUGGCCUCUAUGUUUGUCUGUUCCAGUGAAGGAGGUGUGGCCUCUGUAUUUAUUGGUCCCACUGAAGGAGGUGUGGCCUCUGUGUUAUACAGUUCAAGUGAAGGAGGUGUGGCCUCUGUAUUUGUUGGUCCCACUGAAGGAGGUGUGGCCUCUGUGUUAUUCAGUUCCAGUGAAGGAGGUGUGGCAUCUGUAUUUAUUGGUCCCACUGAAAGAGGUGUGGCCUCUGUGUUAUACAGUUCCAGUGAAGGAGGUUGUGGCCUCUGUAUUUGUCCCAGUGAAGGAGGUGUGGCCUCUGUGUUUGUCAGUUCCAUUGAAAGAGGUCCAUCUGUAAAGAAGGUGUGGUUUCUGCACCUGUCAGUCCUAGAGAAGAGGUGUGGUUUUGUUCUUGCA